rnacentral:rRNA from 1 species
UGAGACCUGAUGCCGAGCCGAUUGUGGCGAAGUGGAUGAUCCUAUGCUGUCGAGAAAAGCCUCUAGCGAGUUUCAUGGCGGCCCGUACCCCAAACCGACUCAGGUGGUCAGGUAGAGAAUACCGAGGCGUUCGGGUGAACUAUGGUUAAGGAACUCGGCAAAAUGCCCCCGUAACUUCGGGAGAAGGGGGGCCAUUCCUGGUGACGGCACUUGCUGCCAGAGCUGGGGGUGGCCGCAGAGACCAGCGAGAAGCGACUGUUUACUAAAAACACAGGUCCGUGCGAAGCCGUAAGGCGAUGUAUACGGACUGACGCCUGCCCGGUGCUGGAACGUUAAGGGGACCGGUUAGCUCCACUUCGGUGGGGCGAAGCUGAGAACUUAAGCGCCAGUAAACGGCGGUGGUAACUAUAACCAUCCUAAGGUAGCGAAAUUCCUUGUCGGGUAAGUUCCGACCUGCACGAAUGGCGUAACGACUUCUCGACUGUCUCAACCAUAGGCCCGGUGAAAUUGCAUUACGAGUAAAGAUGCUCGUUUCGCGCAGCAGGACGGAAAGACCCCGGGACCUUUACUAUAGCUUGAUAUUGGUGUUCGGUUCGGCUUGUGUAGGAUAGGUGGGAGACUUUGAAGCCGUGACGCCAGUCAUGGUGGAGUCGUCGUUGAAAUACCACUCUGGUCGUGCUGGAUGUCUAACCUGGGUCCGUGAUCCGGAUCAGGGACAGUGUCUGGUGGGUAGUUUAACUGGGGCGGUUGCCUCCUAAAGAGUAACGGAGGCGCCCAAAGGUUCCCUCAGCCUGGUUGGCAAUCAGGUGUUGAGUGUAAGUGCACAAGGGAGCUUGACUGUGAGACUGACGGGUCGAGCAGGGACGAAAGUCGGGACUAGUGAUCCGGCGGUGGCUUGUGGAAGCGCCGUCGCUCAACGGAUAAAAGGUACCCCGGGGAUAACAGGCUGAUCUUCCCCAAGAGUCCAUAUCGACGGGAUGGUUUGGCACCUCGAUGUCGGCUCGUCGCAUCCUGGGGCUGGAGUAGGUCCCAAGGGUUGGGCUGUUCGCCCAUUAAAGCGGUACGCGAGCUGGGUUUAGAACGUCGUGAGACAGUUCGGUCCCUAUCCGCUGUGCGCGUAGGAGUGUUGAGAAGGGCUGUCCCUAGUACGAGAGGACCGGGACGGACGAACCUCUGGUGUGCCAGUUGUCCUGCCAAGGGCAUGGCUGGUUGGCUACGUUCGGGAGGGAUAACCGCUGAAAGCAUCUAAGCGGGAAGCCUGCUUCGAGAUGAGCACUCCCACCUCCUUGAGAGGGUAAGGCUCCCAGUAGACGACUGGGUUGAUAGGCCGGAUAUGGAAGCCCUGUGAGGGGUGGAGUUGACCGGUACUAAUAGGCCGAGGGCUUGUCCU